rnacentral:piRNA from 1 species
UAGUAGUUUUGCCUGAUUACCAUACC